AUUGAACGCUGGCGGCAUGCUUUACACAUGCAAGUCGAACGGUAACAGGCCGCAAGGUGCUGACGAGUGGCGAACGGGUGAGUAAUGCAUCGGAACGUGCCCAGUCGUGGUGGAUAACUACUCGAAAGAGUAGCUAAUACCGCAUACGAUCUAUGGAUGAAAGCGGGGGACCGUAAGGCCUCGCGCGAUUGGAGCGGCCGAUGUCAGAUUAGGUAGUUGGUGGGGUAAAGGCUCACCAAGCCAACGAUCUGUAGCUGGUCUGAGAGGACGACCAGCCACACUGGGACUGAGACACGGCCCAGACUCCUACGGGAGGCAGCAGUGGGGAAUUUUGGACAAUGGGCGCAAGCCUGAUCCAGCAAUGCCGCGUGCAGGAAGAAGGCCUUCGGGUUGUAAACUGCUUUUGUACGGAACGAAACGGCUCUGGUUAAUACCCGGGGCUAAUGACGGUACCGUAAGAAUAAGCACCGGCUAACUACGUG
rnacentral:rRNA from 1 species